rnacentral:rRNA from 1 species
UUUAACCGUGCUAAGGUAGCAUAAUAAUUUGUUUUUUAAAUGAAAACUAGUAUGAAUGGCUAUACAUUUUCUAACUGUCUCUCUAUAUUUUCUUUUAAAUUUCUACCCCCGUGAAGAAGCGGGGAUAUAAUAGUAAGACGAGAAGACCCUGACGAGCUUUAACUAAAAAAAGAUUUAUAUUCAAGAUAGUCUCUUAGUUCACUCUUUUUUAAGCUUUGGUUGGGGCAACCAUGGAGUAAAAUUAAUCUCCAGUUUCUAAAGAAGAUUUUCAACUCUCUUUAAAAUAAUUUUAUUGAACCAAUAAUUUUGGUAAUCGGAAUAAGUUACCGCAGGGAUAACAGCGUAAUCUUCUUUGAGAGCCCGUAUUGACAAGAAGGUUUGCGACCUCGAUGUUGG